rnacentral:misc_RNA from 1 species
CAGCGCACACAGCACACUUGUCCUCGACAGAACUUGGUGUGGCGAUAAUAGGUCUGCUUUUUCGUGUGCAUUUAAAAUUUGACAGAAAACGAUGCCAUCACAGAUUGUAUUAACAACAGGUUUCAAGCAGUCAAAUUUUUUUUUAGUUGAGCCUGUGACUGAAAUACGUGUGUGAGUAGAGACUUUAACAGCUCUAUGUUUGGAAUUCUUUGGCGAUAUCACAAGUUACCAAAGUAAAACACUGAUAUCUGUGUAAAUCUGUAUAUACCUUUCGUCUUGCUUGGUUAAGAAAUCAUGAUGGAAAUAUGGAAUGUAUUUGGGAGGCUUGGAUCAUCCUCGUCAUGACAGCUAGUCACCACAUUAGCUCUUGUUAGUUCAGUCCUUGUGGUGUAGUCUGUGCGGCAGAAACUUUACAUGUGAUUUCAUCGUCUCUGUCUUGUCGCAAUGACUGGAGUGUUUCAGUGUCAUGACAACAUGCUUGUCAGACUAAGCAAGUUCUUCCAGGCGCUCCUGUCUGUUCUGUGUACUUUUAUAGUACUGUCAGCAUCACAAGACCAUUACCUGGGUUACAACUCCACUACCGGCCUGUUACACUUCUGGUGUCCUCUGGACAGUGACCUGACAAACAAUCGUCUCAUUGUCUCCACCUUAGGACGCUACAAACAAGGGACUACCAGUGGACAUGUGUAUAUAGCCAGUUGGUAUGACAAUGUACCGACCACAUACGAGAAUACAGGUAAAGUGGUCCUUAACACGAGGCAGUAUGGUCUGGCCGGCUACCUGACAGACGUGCCAUGUGAAGAUUUACAAACCUAUUUCUGCGAUUUCCGCCUUCAGAUGAAGAAUAGAGCUAUAUCACAGCGUUUAGAGAAUUUUCCAUCCAUACCUGAAGGUUCAUGUUCGAAGAGCCAGAAUAUAAUCACUGGUAAACCAAAUACCAUACCACUGGACGGAUCAGGUACAACAGGUGGGAGGUGGGUAAUCUACCCCGGCCUGGAUCCUACCCGGAAGGAAAGAACCAAACCGCGUUGCCUCAAAAUCCAACGGUCGUCAACCUGAAUAACCUGUCGUGUCAGCUUUUUCUGACUGGUCUGAUUAGACCAAGUACAUUAACCGAGGCCAAAGACCCUGUCACAACACAGUUGAUGAGCAGGAAACUGUCUUCGAAAACUUCCGUGUCUGGAUCGAGUGUCUUCCUCGAGUGUCACCAACCAAAGGCUAGAGGACGCUUGCUGUCAAUCUGUCUAAUAAUCUGAGUCUUCUGUGAGCUGGUACUAGAGACACGUGAACUUUCUCAGAAAUAUUUUAAAGAGAACCUCGUAGCAUCAUGAAGAUUGUGAACCUGACCAACAUCUGCAUCGUGGCAUUUCUUUGCUGCAUUACAUUGGGGUGGAGGCCAAACGGCAAUCCAUGGCGUUCAAGAACCUCAGCUAAACCAACAAAAACAAGUAUUAGGAUAUCAACAACAUCAAAAAAGCCAUCGACGAUUAAAGCAGUAGUAACGACUACAAAAAGGACGACAACUACACAAAGAACGACAACCUUAAGGACAACAGCGAUGACACCACUUUCCAUUCGAGUAACAUCUACAAGCGCUACUUCAACUUCUGUUCACUCAACUAAUGUUGUGAGGACUUCUUUACCUAUGAACACGUCCAUUUCCACUGAGAAUUGUGUGUCUGAGGGAGAUGCAAGUGAAACCACAACUGCUUUGAAAGCCGGGACGAUGGCAGGUAUAGGUGUUGCCGUCACAGCUUUUACAGCAGUCGUUGUCUUCAUUCUCCUUAUUAUCAGAAGACGCAGAAAAAGGAAACAUCAUGAGUACAAACAGUCAUCAGCAAACUGCACUGUGAAACCCGCCUACGGUACUACUUCAGUGAAUGUUGACAUCGACAACCAUCAGUUGAAUCCCAAUCAAGAUGACGAGGCUUACUUUGAGCUGGAGUGCCAGGUAGAUGGCGGUGCCGGCACGUGCAGCACUGCUCCCUGUCAAGGUCAGGAUGCUGCACUCACUUCAGCAACAGCAUCAGAUGUAGCAGUUUAUUGCAACGUGCGCCACCCUGAACACGUCGAGAGCCACCCAUGUCCACACCUUCUGACUUCCCUGACGACUGUAGUGGACUACGUCAUCAGGAUGUAGGUGUGGAAGACGUACAGUCGGCGUCGGCUGUCGAUGUUAUUUACGGUAAUAUUCAGAACAACGACUCAGAUGAAUACAACCGACUCCGUAGUGAGGACGGAUGUGGAACUAUCUUGCGUUCAGAUGUAGAAUUCGUUAACAACUACGAUCAUCUUCAAAGUGAGGACCCAGGGGAGUAUAACAGACUUUGUCGGCCUCGUCAGGAUGGAGGUACCCAAUGCACAAUAUUGUCUUUACCAGACACCUAUGAUCACGUGCAGAACUCAUGUAUUACUAACACUGCGCCUGUCUGUACUGAUCAUGACCCGACAAAAUCACAAAGACUUGAUACUCCUCCGUCUUCUAGAACGAAUUAUGAAAACAUAAUGCCUGUAACGGUACAUAAACAAUAUGACUGAUGGAUCAUCACAAUCCAUGCUAUUCCAUUUCAAUAAUUUUUUUCAGACAGUCUGGAUGCUAGCAUCGCAGUCUUUUUCAUGGAAUGUAUUUGUUGUACCUAUCUAGGCGUCUGUUUGCUACACCUGUGUAUAAGCGAGUUCUAAAUAUUUUAAAAAUCUAAUUAAAUCUUUCCUUUUCCUGUUGAAUCAAUUAUAUAAAGUUAUUCUAAUGAAUGGUAGUGUUCAGAGUCAACUUUUCACACCUUUAGCUCCGUUGAAAGGUAGUAUCAGGCUUCUGUGCAUUAUCAUUAGAACUCAAACUAAUAGCAAACAUUCUAACUGCACAAUGUUACAGGUGGUCUGCAAAAUAAAAUUUUCUCCUUCAGCGCAUAAACAUUAGACAAGCAAUUCUAUGGUAAGAAUGAAUAUAUUUCUAGCUUCUCCAACAAUUAAGCCCCUCUACGACUCACUAUCUUAAAGGGUUAAAAAUACUUAGACACAAAAUUAAAUGUUGUUAAUCAUAAUCUACAGACAGUUAGUUGUAAACUGUUACAUGUGUGCGUCUUUUUGUAUAAGUGUGAUACGUAUUUGUUAAUAGACGUGAAGGUAUAAAAAAGGUUAAACGGCGAUGAAAAGUUUUGAUGUAAAUAUAACUUUGUCCAGAAUGUUUAUAAUUCUGUUAUUUUUUAAUAGUAAAGCAUUUGAACUGAAAUGAUUCGGUGUGAGUUUAUGUGGUCGGUUAUUAAAGUGUGUGUUUGUGGUGGGGCAUCCAAUAUUCUAAUUCACAAAGUGGAGCUCAUGGUGCACAGUCGCUGAAAUAUUCCAGUGGCAUGGAAGGGACUAAGAAAUCAAAGACACAGCUACAGAUCUAUCUGUAUGUUCGCCACAAGCUGCUGUCUUGUCAUAGUCUCGUCUAAAUCAAAGUACUCCAUGAUCUACACUGUCACGAUAGUUUGAAUUGUUUACUGCGAAACUGUUAAAAGUAUUAAUUAAGAAAAUACUUGUAACAUUGCUGACUGAGACUAUGUAACUGAUUUCUUCCUGACGGCUACAAUUGUUUAAUGGUCUCGAUACAACUACAGUUACACCGAUAACAUUCGUCGUCAUUAAAUGCUCCCAUCGACCUUCUAACCUCUAAAAAUUCGCUGUUUUCACGUAAAUAUCGACAAAUAUUGUAUUCACCUGUUCCUGUCACCGAACAACCAGUGUGAUCAUGGAGUUCGUGGUGUCAUGCACUGUAAUCCCACCAAGCGUGAAUCUAUUUUCGGGUCUAAGUGCCAGGAUGUGCUCGUGGCCGGAUGUGUCGUAGUGGUCCGAGGAUCAUGGGUAAUGUUUGACAUGUCGGCGACAUUCCCGUUUCAGAUCUCAGGCUCCAAUCCACCAUGAUAAGCGCUUAUAUCCGCUGAUACACGUGUAACAAGAAGCUUAUAUUGUAGCUGACAACGCUCGCAAUCAAGUCAAGGUAUAACAAAUCGUCUUCGAAAAAGUUUACAAACUGAAAGGUUAGACGAAUCUCAUUAUUGCCGUUUAUUUAAAAAUAAUCUACAGGAGACAUCGCUGGAUCUCUUGUACGCUGACAAAAAAGAAAUCUAGGCAAGCAUUGAAGGAGAAAAACAAGAAAGAGAAUACAAUCGAAACAAAAUGAAUAAGUCAACAACAUCAAAACAGCUGUCGACAACAAACAUUGCAGCACCGACAAAAGGUACAAGAGAAGAAAAUACAACAAAGACAACUCUUUCCAGCCAAGUGACAUCAGCUAACUCGUCCUCAGCUUCCCCUCAGCUCGCAAACAAUUUUGGGACAACUUCCCAAGUGAGGCCUUCUGGCUUAAUUGCAAAAUAUGACUCCCUACAAAGAUCAAGAGAUCUUUUAUUAAGUCCUUCAACAGUAGCAAUCAUAGCUUUUGCCAUUACAGCCACCGCCGUCGUCUUCAUCUUUCUCAUCGUCGGAAUUCGCCAGAAACGCAGGCAACAUCACAAUGUGAAUGAAAGGUCAAUGACGAAUUCCUUUCAACAAGUCACCUUCAGAAGUAUUCCUAGACACGUCGCUGGUGACAUCAGUCUACUGGGUUCUAAGCGCGAUGACUCCAUCACCUUUCAUCCCAUUUGCCACCCUGAUGAAGGUGCCGACAAGAGCGAAACAGUUCCAUUGCAAGGUGACGACACUGAUCUCAGCUCAGCAAUGGCAGCAGACCUAGAAGUCUAUGGCAGCCAGCGUGAACUCAAACAAAGGGAAAACCAUCCGACUCCCACGUCUCCUGAAGUCAUUGACGAGGGGGAGCAAAGAAGACGUCGUCAUCCAGGUGCAGGGACCCAAAACGUCGAUGACAUCUAGGAUCAUCUACAAAACGUCGAAAACAUCAGAUGGCUCCAGUACAGAUGGCUGUAAACUUGGCAACGUUAACAUAUUCAUGUAGACCUCUGAUAUUUGUGCUUUUUGACCUCAUUCUGCUCAUAAAGAUGUGUGUAGGCUUAGAUCUUGAAGAAUAUUCACCGACAUUUUUGAAAAUAGUACACUGCGCCUCCUAUUAGAAAAAGGAAGCUAAAUUUGAGAUAUUACGCAAUUACAACUUAUUUCUAGUUCUAGGACAAGUAAAAAAAACUAUUUACCACUUUCAUACUUCCAAACAGUAAUUAAAAGUAUAUGAUUACA